GCGAGACUGAAUACCAGAACACAGAGUAUGCACAACUGCAGGACAUCAAGACACGCCUGGAGGUGGAGAUCGAGACCUACCACCGCCUGCUCGGUGGAGAGGGAGGUUCUGAGGCCAGAGAAGCUGAAUCUAAAGGAUGAUUCUCUGUGGACUCCAAAGGAAUAACCAACACAGCUCAAUCGAGGGGAAGAGUCGCUUUUUAAAAUUCACAUAAAAGCAGAGGAACCAGGCUGGUGACGGAUAAUGACCAACUAAUUUCAUCUCAACACUGUUUCUGAUGUAAAAUUCAAGAGUAAGAUGCAGGCAGCUGAGUCCUGUCCCCAGGAUGUAAAUGAUGACACCUAACAAAGGCGUGCUGAAGCACUGCAACAAACCUGCGGCCACAGAGCUGCAGCUACUCCUGUAAUCCUUUCUCAGAUUCUUUUGUCUUAUUGGUUCGGUUUUGUCUUUAAAUUGCAAAAUGUGUUUUCCUUCUUAAUCAUUCUGUGUCGAUAAACUUUUUGCCUGUUGCAAAUCAACU
ensembl:lncRNA novel transcript